UUAAGUUCAGCGCGUAUUCCUACCUGAUCCGAGGUCAACCUUGAAAAGUUUCCUUGUGAAAGGAGAGGACCGGGUCCUGGGCGCCCUUAUCCGAUACGUGCUCAGUUAAAAGCUCAGUGUACCGGGGGAACCACAGGCCGCCGUCAUUGUCUUUAGGAGGGGUCGAGUUACCUCGACCAGGCCGUCCAAUACCAAGCACG
rnacentral:misc_RNA from 1 species